rnacentral:hammerhead_ribozyme from 1 species
AUCCAGAUGACGAGUCCCAAAUAGGACGAAACACGCGUCCUUGAU